rnacentral:rRNA from 1 species
AGUUUGAUCCUGGCUCAGAGUGAACGCUGGCGGCAGGCCUAACACAUGCAAGUCGAACGGCAGCACAGUAAGAGCUUGCUCUUAUGGGUGGCGAGUGGCGGACGGGUGAGGAAUACAUCGGAAUCUACUCUUUCGUGGGGGAUAACGUAGGGAAACUUACGCUAAUACCGCAUACGACCUACGGGUGAAAGCGGAGGACCUUCGGGCUUCGCGCGGUUGAAUGAGCCGAUGUCGGAUUAGCUAGUUGGUGGGGUAAAGGCCUACCAAGGCGACGAUCCAUAGCUGGUCUGAGAGGAUGAUCAGCCACAUUGGGACUGAGACACGGCCCAAACUCCUACGGGAGGCAGCAGUGGGGAAUAUUGGACAAUGGGCGCAAGCCUGAUCCAGCCAUGCCGCGUGGGUGAAGAAGGCCUUCGGGUUGUAAAGCCCUUUUGUUGGGAAAGAAAAGCAGUCGGUUAAUACCCGAUUGUUCUGACGGUACCCAAAGAAUAAGCACCGGCUAACUUCGUGCCAGCAGCCGCGGUAA